rnacentral:misc_RNA from 1 species
AUUCCUCCACCUUUCGUCUUUUGAUCGAGAGGCUGGGAUUUGGGGGCCUCUGCGGGCCUUUUGUGGACCCGCUCCCCUUGAAUGCAUGAGUGAAGGCCCUCGCUACCUUGGUGUGAUAACGUCUACGCCUCGGCCGGUCGAGAUGAGGCCUUCGCUUCCAACCGUCCGUCUUUGGACAAUGUGAUACGA